rnacentral:rRNA from 1 species
UACGUAGGGGGCAAGCGUUGUCCGGAUUUAUUGGGCGUAAAGAGCGUGUAGGCGGACAGACAGGUCAGCUGUGAAAACUCGAGGCUCAACCUCGAGACGUCGGUUGAAACCGUCUGGCUAGAGUCCGGAAGAGGAGAGUGGAAUUCCCGGUGUAGCGGUGAAAUGCGCAGAUAUCGGGAAGAACACCCGUGGCGAAGGCGGCUCUCUGGGACGGUACUGACGCUGAGACGCGAAAGCGUGGGGAGCGAACAGG